GCCACACUCGAGCCAAUGAGAAAGCGGUGUCGGCCCCAUCGCCGAGACGGGCAGGCAGAGCCACCAAUGGAACGCGAGCACAGAGGAGGGGCGCGGCGGCCGGGGAGACUCGGCUGGCGAGGGCGCGCGGGGGCACUCGGAGCCCGGCGGCGGCGGCAGCUGUUUGUGUGGAAUCCCGGCCGUGUCGCUGGUGGGGACCUCCCGGGACAUUCCAGCCUCCUCCGGCGAUCGCGCGGUGGCAAGGUGAGACCCCUCAGAGUCCUGCCCAGCCUUUCCCUUCCCCGCGUUCCCUCCCGAGAGCCUCCAGGGAUCUGCCACGUGAAGUUUCCAUUUGGAGCUGGCAAAUUCCCGGUCCGGGGCUUAUGCAAGGAGACCAUGACCACUGACGAGGCCGCCAAGGGCGAAGGGGAGGUGCAGGCGGUGGCUCUCGCCGAGCGCGGCGAGGACAUCACACCGGCUCGAGACCGAGGGGUCCUGAAGAUCAUUAAACGACCUGGGAGUGAAGAUGAAUCCCCCAUGAUUGGGGACAAGGUUUAUGUCCACUACAAAGGCAAACUCGCCAACGGUAAAAAAUUUGACUCCAGCCGUGAUCGAAAUGAGCCCUUUGUCUUCAGCCUGGGCAAGGGUCAGGUAAUCAAGGCAUGGGACAUCGGGGUGGCUACCAUGAAGAAAGGAGAGAUCUGCUACUUGCUCUGCAAACCCGAGUACGCGUACGGCUCUGCCGGCAGCGCCCCCAAAAUCCCCUCCAACGCCACCCUCUUUUUUGAGGUUGAGCUGCUUGACUUCAAAGGCGAGGACUUGUUUGAGGAUGGAGGGAUUAUCCGGAGGAUCAAGAGGAAGGGAGAAGGUUACUCCAACCCUAACGAAGGGGCUACGGUGGAAAUUCACCUGGAGGGAUUCUGCGGCGGCACCAGGUUCGACUGCAAAGACGUGAAGUUCGUCGUGGGUGAAGGGGAGGACCACGACAUCCCCAUCGGCAUCGACAAAGCGCUGGAGAAGAUGCAGAGGGGAGAGCACUGCGUCCUCUACCUCGGGCCACGAUACGGCUUCGGGGAGACGGGGAAGGCGAAAUAUGGCAUCCAGGCAAAUGCAGAGCUGGUGUACGAGGUCACGCUGAAGAGCUUUGAAAAGGUCACAGUCCAUGUGUCCAGCGGCCCCGAGGAGCUCGGCCGGCACGCCGCGCUGGCUCAGUGGACAGGCUGGGGCCGGGAUGCAGGAGAUGAUGCCCGUGGGAUGGGGCAGGGUCAGCGGUGCUGUCCCUGGCUGGGUCACCUCCCCGCCCAUCCCCCGGCCGGAGCAAGACACACCCCAUCCCAUCCCAUCCCAUCCCAUCCCAUCCCAUCCCAUCCCAUCCCAUCCCAUCCCAUCCCAUCCCAUCCCAUCCCAUCCCAUCCCAUCCCCUGUCUGCUGGGGGAUGUCUCCCCACCCUCCUCUUGCCUUUGGGGGUUUAUUUUUUGCCAGGAUUUUCCUCCCGUGGGGUUGCAGUGGGCAAACCACCUUGCUCAGGGUGAAGUCCCGAGCCUGGCAGGGGCUCCCCUGUUGUGAAGGGCUUCAGGCCAAGGAGUCAUGGGAGAUGGACACCAAGGAGAAGCUGGAGCAGGCAGCCAUCGUCAAGCAGAAAGGCACGAUGUACUUCAAGGAAGGCAAAUACCUGCAGGCGGUGAUUCAGUACGGCAAGAUCGUGUCCUGGCUGGAAAUGGAGUACGGCUUAUCUGAGAAAGAGUCGAAAGCCUCUGACUCGUUCCUCCUGGCUGCCUUCCUCAACCUGGCCAUGUGCUACCUGAAGCUACGGGAGUACGCCAAAGCUGUCGAGUGCUGCGAUAAGGCGCUGGGACUGGACCAGGACAACGAGAAGGGCUUGUACCGGAGGGGCGAAGCCAGGUUAUUGAUGAAUGAGUUCGAGCUGGCAAAAUGUGACUUUCAAAGGGUGCUAGAAGUAAAUCCACAGAACAAGGCGGCAAAAUCCCAGAUCUCUGUCUGCCAGAAGAAGACAAAGGAGCACAACGAGCGGGACCGGAGGAUCUACGCCAACAUGUUUGCAAAGUUUGCGGAAAGGGAUGCAAAGGAAGCAGCUAGCAAAACCAGGGUCAAGACAGCAGCGGAGAAGCCAGCUUGUGAAAAGGGACCUGAAACUCCUGGUGCCAAAGAUGAAGAGGCUGAAGGACAUGUAUGACGGAGGAGGAGAGGAGUGGAGAGCCUCCUG